GGGGGGUGAAUUGCUGUUGUUUCAAAAACACUUUCUUUUCGCAAUCUUGCAAACAAAGUAUAAAGCUUUUCGAAAUUUCUUGAAUUGCAAGUAAUCAAAAUAUGUAUGCAGCGAAAAUUAGGUAGUUGACUGCGUAAAGAAUAAACUCGACUAGAAUGUAAAAGAUAAGGGAUAGAGAAUGCAAACACAAAUUUUUAUACUGGUUCUGCCAACAAUGCCUACCUCCAGUGUCCUUCCAACCCAGGAAGCAAAUGCACUAUAAUGGUUGCGGUUUUUACAACAAAGAAUUUAUAGAAAACCUCCACGUCAAAAAUAUAAAUCCCCUUUCUAACCCAAAACCAAAC
rnacentral:lncRNA from 1 species